rnacentral:miRNA from 1 species
ACACAGCUCAAAAUCACCAGGCGA